rnacentral:lncRNA from 1 species
CCCAGGCUCCUCCUCUGCCCUGUGUGUGCUGUGGGGGUGGGCAGCCCCUGGCCUUGCAGCGGGGAAGCCUAGCUCGCACCUCUGCUCCCUGUGCCUUGGGAUAUGGCCACCUAUGCCCCGGUUCUGUGUGUGUCUCUCUGGAUAGCACUGGACAUGUGUGCCUCUGAGGUUCUCUGCACACCUCCUGCUCCCCACAUUUCUUGGCCACAGGGCUACUGCCCUUGAGGGUGGGAAUUCACUUCCUCUCACUCUGCAAGUUGGCCCAGCAGGUGCUGGGGCAUGGCUCUGGCCAUCCUCUUGGGUCUCUAGGUCUGCUUUUACUGGUUUCACCUGCAUGUACCUGGUCUGGGGGUGUAGGGUUGAUCCCUGGCCAGCUUGUCAGAGAACAAUGGCUCCGGGUCCGGCCAGCCUGUGACACAGGGCAACGGCGACUGAGCAGAAAGCUGCUGUGGAAACCGAGUGGGGAUUUUACUGAUAGUGACAGUGAUGACUUCAAAGAGACCGAGGGCCAGUACUCCAGGGUGUGUUUCAAAAAGCUGCCCCUGGAGGGAGGUGGUAGGGAGGUGGUGGGGAGCUGCACUCACCCCGGCCUGUCCCCUCCAGCUCAGCCAGCAGUCACACUGCCCAGAUUUCUUUCUUUUCCUCUGCCGCCUGCUCAGCCCGCUGCUCAAGGCCUUUGCACAGGCUGCCGCCUUCCUCCGCCAGGGCCAGCUGCCCGAUACUGGUGAGGCCCUUGUUCCCUUGCAGUCCUCGAGGCAGGCUGUGUCUGUGCUGGGUGCCAGGUCUAGGUCUUCUCUCUUCUGCAGAGUCGGGCUACACAGACCAGCUGUUCCAGUUCCUGCAGGCCACCGCCCAGGAAGAAGGGAUCUUCGGUGAGUCUCAACCAGUCAGCCCAGGCUCCUGCAGGCAGUGGUGUUUGCUGGUGGCUGCUGCCCCCUGCCAGACAGUGACAACCCAAGUCUAGGAAGGUGGGCUGCAGAGUACAGACAGUCUUCUGUCCAGUCUGAGUUCUAUCCCUCCCGGGGCUUCUUUAAACAAGAGGAGAGAAGCCUGUGC